AAAAAAUUAAGGCGCGACUGGUUGGGUGCUGAUCCUCUCUUGGAUUAUUCUAAUCCCAUCCAAUAUCCUAUCCUAUGUGACUGCUAGUGAUUCCUCAUUCUAGGUUUGAUGUAACUACAGUGAUUAAUUCACCUCUUUUUCUAGGGUUUCUAAUUCCCUAUACAAACAAAUCAGUAAAUAAAGUUUCCAAUUGUUUGAUUAUGAAUUUGUCCAUAAUUCAUUUGCAUAUCAUCAUCUCGAUCAAUUGAGGUUUGCUUGAUAAAUCGUUUGCAGUGACUAUAUAUAUCUAUAUAUAAAAAUAAUGGCGAGUGGCGGUGACGAAGACAACGAUGCUGUCUUGAGCGACAUCGAAUCCGACGAUGCCGUGCCGGUUGUUGUCAAGAGUCCGUUACCGGAAGAUGUUUCUGUGGAGAGAUUUCGAGAGGUUCUUGCGGAGCUCGAUCGCGAGAAGCAAGCGCGUGAGGCAGCCGAGAAUUCGAAGACCGAAUUGCACCAGUCGUUCAAUCGGUUGAGGGUUCUCGCUCACGAGGCAAUCAAGAAGCGUGAAGAGAGUUCGAGGCAGAGGGACGAAGCCUUGCGCGAAAAGGAGGAAGCUCUGAAGUCGAAUGAGAAGCUAUCGGUGGAACUAGACGAAGCUGUUAGUGUAAAAGAGGAGGUUUUGAAGCAGAGGGAUGAAUUCGGGAUGCAAUUCGACGAAACGAUGAAGGCAAAGGACUCGUUGAGAUCGGAGAUUGAAACUGCGGCUCAAAUGUUAGUGACCGGAAUUGAAAAGGUAUCAGAAAAAGUGAGUAAUUUUAAGAAUUUUUCUGCAGGGGGAUUGCCUAGGUCUCAGAAGUACACGGGAUUGUCAGCGGUUGCUUAUGGUGUUAUCAAGAGAAGCAAUGAGAUUGUUGGGGAGCUGCUUAGACAGAUUGAUUCAACCGCAAAGUCCAGGAAUGAAGCACGAGAACAGAUGGAGCAGAGAAACUAUGAGAUUGCCAUUGAAGUUUCUGAGCUUGAAUCGACGAUUAGUGGGCUGAGAGAAGAGGUUUUGAAGAAAAGUUCUGCUGUAGAGAAUUUGGAGAAAUCUAUAGCUGAAAAGGAUAGUAAGAUAUUCCAGAUAGAGAAAGAUAUGUCUACAAAAAAAUAUCUGGCAGAGGAUGAAGCCUCUGGGCUUAAGCAGUUGGUAGGUGAGUAUGAUGAUAAGUUGAGAUAUUUGGGAUCGAAGAUGGACUCACAAAGGCCGUUGCUGGCUGAUCAGUUGAAUUAUGUAUCAAAAAUUCACAAUCAGAUUGACAACGUUAUAAAAAUAAUUGAUGCUAAUAAUGUAGACCAAUUAGAGUUGUCAGACUCCUUGUUUCUCCCACAAGAAACAGACAUGGAGGAGAAUAUGCGUGCUUCUUUAGCCGGAAUGGAAUCUAUAUAUCAAUUAACUAGAAUCCUUGUUGAGAAAACAAGGGAUUUAGUAGUGGAGAGGAAUCAUGAAGUAAAAGAUUUGAAUGAAACGGUUUCCCAAUUGGUUAAGGAGAGAGAACAUAUUGGGUCUUUACUGAGAAGUGCUUUGUCAAGAAGGAUGCCAGCUGAUCUGUCGUCCAAAACAAAUGAAUUGUUUAAAGUUGCAGAAAAUGGGUUAAGAAAGGCUGGGAUAGAUUUUACAUUCAGCAAUCAUCAUGGGGGUGGAAGGUUUCCAGUUUCUAUUGACAAAGCAGGUGCUCUGGACACAGAGGAGGAUGAAAUAUAUACUUUGGCUGGCGCUUUGGAAAAUAUUGUUAAGCAGUCUCAACUUGAGAUUAUUGAGCUGCAGCAUUCUGUGGAUGAAUUAAGGGCAGAGACAGGUUUACUCAAAGAGCAUGUGGAGGCUCAAGCCAAGGAGCUCAGCCAAAGCAAACAACGGAUGGAGGAGCUCGAAGAAAAGGAUAGAGUGGCAAAUGAUAAUAUUGAAGGACUUAUGAUGGACAUUUCUGCUGCUGAAGAAGAAAUUACAAGAUGGAAAAUGGCUGCGCAGCAAGAAGCUGAUGUGGGCAAAGCUGUUGAACAAGAGUUUUUGACACAGUUAUCAGCCCUACGACAGGAACUUGAACAGGAGAAGCAAGCUGUGGUGGAGUAUCAGAAAACACUCAAAUUCAAAGCAGAAACAGCAACUGCUGCCAUGGCAGCAAGAGAUGCUGUUGAGAAAUCAUUGAGAUUGGCAGAUUUGAGGGCAUCUAAGCUGAGGGAUAGGGUGGUGGAGUUAACCCAUCAGCUCGAAAAGCUUGACACUAGAGAAAGCAGGGGCCCAAAUGGCCCUAGAUACAUGUGCUGGCCAUGGCAAUGGCUGGGGUUGGACUUUGCAGGAUUUCAACAGUCCGACACGCAACAACAAAGUUCAAAUGAGAUGGAGCUUUCCGAACCCUUGCUUUGAGUGAACUCCUUUUUUGUUUCUUCUUUCUUCCCUUUGUGUAUUUAUUUUGAUAGGGCGGAGGAGCUGACUCCAGUUCAAAGAGCUUGACACUUCAGGGAAAAGGGGAUAGACAAGUGCUGACAACGGCGUUGGCUUUGGUUGAACUUUGCAGGUUUCCAUUGCUUUGACACGCGAUAACAGAGUUCAAAUGAAACAUGCUUUUUUGAACGUUUCUCUGAGGUUUAUUUUUUCAACUAAUUGUACUGCAUUGAAGUUUUUAUGAAGAGAAUGAAGUUGCCUCUUCUUAUGUUCCUGCCUCAACAUUAAUGCAGUGCUAUGAACUUAAACAGAAUCGAGGUGAUCGUCAAUAACCUUUUGGUAGAAAUCAUCAACCUCGCGGAAACUCCUCUCAAGCCUCCCAUGGAGUCCAGUGAGCCUGUCAAUGAUCCACCCCGCGGAUGGAAAGAAAUUAGAGCGACAAGCUAGUAAGUAGUGCCAUUGCUUCAGUAAUCAUUUCUUGAAAUCUAUCACCAUCGAAUCCACUCCCCCUAAAACUCUUCCCAAAAGCAGUCCUACAAGUUAUAUUUGCAGUGAGGAAAAGCAUCUUCUCAUUAAGAUCAACAGGACUUCUUGAAGAAGACAAUUGAGCAAUCGAACUGAUCAUCAAAGAAACCUCCUCUUCUCUAAUGAACUGAAAUGACUGAAUCCUCUUCGCGCUGAAGAGUUCAAGAACGCAAAUCUUCCGCAUCUCCCUCCAGUAAUCACCAUAUGAUGUAAAAGCUAUGUCUAGAUGAUUGUAUGAGAGUUUUCCAGUGCCAGCUAACUGUGCCCUACUGCAACAAUCAACAUCAUGAGUUUUCAGGACCUCUCUUGCAGCCUCAGCGGAUGAGACUACAAGAGUGGGUACACUACCAAGUUGCAGAAGCAUGACUGGGCCAUAUUUCAUGGAGAGCUGCCAUAGAGAUUGGUGAGACAAUGUACCAAUCUGGUGCAAGUUGCCGGUGAUGGGCAGCUUAGGAGGGCCAGGAGGAAGCUGCUUGUUUUGUCACUUGGCUCUUAUCCUUUUAGUGAGUAUCACAAGAGGAGGAGAAGAAGCCAUAGGGGCGUUGUGUAUAGAGCCAUUGGAGGCUCUUUGUGAUCUUGUAUGUGAUGCACAGAUGAAGACUUUCAUUUACUUCUAUAUAUACACUCAACCAUCCAUGUGCAGAACACAAACUCUAGGUACGUUACAAUGAGUUUCUUUGUCUUUAUACAAGAAACAUGAUAUUUCUUUCUCAAUUCUUCUUUCAAGAUAUCUCUUCAAACUUUCACAAUAAAUGCCUGGGACACAUUUUUCUUACUUCGAA